UGGGACACAAGCAGAGCAUCUGCAUGACCUUCUCUACCUCAUGCUCUGCCUGUGUCCCAAA
rnacentral:pre_miRNA from 1 species